ACAUCUCAACUCUCAUGGCUUGCCGUGAUGAGCUUGGACUUUGGGGGUCUUGCUGGCCUGUGGUCAGCUCCUCUCAAAUGAAUUAGCCUGCCGGUGUUUGGUGGGAUCACAGGUGUGAUAACUAUCUACGCUUGUGGUUUUCCACCAGGUAACCCUCAGCAAUGGAGGUUCACCGGAGCUUACAAAUGUCUCUCCCCAGCGAGGACAGAUUUUGACC
rnacentral:misc_RNA from 2 species